CCUAAGAGGGUAUUGCUGUUUGUUGGCCUUGAAGUACAGGGAACGUCUCAGGGUUGUGUUCAUGCCUUCACCCGGACAUUCAUCGCUACUCCUGGCAGCAGCACCCGUCUAUGCAUUGUGAAUGACCACCUGUUUGUGAGGGAUGCCAGGCCUGAUGAGAUCCAGAGUGCCUUCUCCAUACCCGUGGCCACACCUUGCUCCAGCUCCACGUCCACCUUGUCCCAGGAGCAUCAGAGAAUGGCGCACGCUUUCUCCAUACAGUCUGGAAUGAAACUCCAGUGGGCUCAGAAGUGAGUGCCAGGUCACACGCAUGAGUGUA
rnacentral:lncRNA from 1 species